rnacentral:rRNA from 1 species
CCCUUAGAUGUUCUGGGCCGCACGCGCGCUACACUGACGAAUGCAACGAGCUUAUAACCUUGGCCGAAAGGUCUGGGUAAUCUCCAAAUUUCGUCGUGAUUGGGAUAGAUUAUUGCAAUUAUUAAUCUUCAACGAGGAAUGCCUAGUAAGCGCAAGUCAUCAGCUUGCGUUGAUUACGUCCCUGCCCUUUGUACACACCGCCCGUCGCUCCUACCGAUUGAAUGGUCCGGUGAAGCGUUCGGACCGUGGCCUUUGGACGGUUCGCCGUCUGUUGGCUGCGGGAAGUUCGUUAAACCUUAUCAUUUAGAGGAAGGAGAANUCGUAACA